UACGAAGGGGGCUAGCGUUGCUCGGAAUCACUGGGCGUAAAGGGCUCGUAGGCGGCCAACUAAGUCAGACGUGAAAUCCCUCGGCUUAACCGGGGAACUGCGUCUGAUACUGGAUGGCUUGAGGUUGGGAGAGGGAUGCGGAAUUCCAGGUGUAGCGGUGAAAUGCGUAGAUAUCUGGAGGAACACCGGUGGCGAAGGCGGCAUCCUGGACCAAAUCUGACGCUGAGGAGCGAAAGCCAGGGGAGCAAACGGG
rnacentral:rRNA from 1 species